GGAUGGCUCAGUCGGUAGAGCGAAAGACUCUCUGAAUCUCAAGGUUGUGAGUUCGAGUCCUACGUGGGGCA